rnacentral:tRNA from 1 species
GCCGGAGUGACGCAAUCGGCUAGACGUGGCAGACUCAAAAUCUGCUGGGCGAAAGCCCAUGAGGGUUCGAGUCCCUCCUCCGGCA